rnacentral:lncRNA from 1 species
ACAACCCCCUACCACGACACUUAAAUUCUUGUGAUCAUGUUCGCUUCCUACCGCCCCACCACCUCACCCUAUCCUCUUAUCUCUCUCUCUCUCUCUCUCUCUCUCUCUCUCUAAAUUCAUUUUUAACCCCAACACCUUCUUAUCUCUCUCUCUCUCUCUCUCUCUCUCUCUCUAAAUUCAUUUUUAACCCCAACACCUUCUUAUCUCUCUCUCUCUCUCUCUAAAUUCAUUUUUAACCCCAACACCACCUUUACCCCAA